rnacentral:rRNA from 1 species
UGGGGAAUUGUUCACAAUGGGCGCAAGCCUGAUGACGCAACGCCGCGUGGGGGAUGAAGGUCUUCGGAUCGUAAACCCCUGUCGAAUGGGACGAAAGACUCGCGAGUGAAUACUUCGCGAGAGUGACGGUACCUUUAAAGGAAGCCACGGCUAACUCUGUGCCAGCAGCCGCGGUAAUACAGAGGUGGCAAGCGUUGUUCGGAAUUACUGGGCGUAAAGGGCGCGUAGGCGGCCCUCUAAGUCAGACGUGAAAUCCCCCGGCUUAACCUGGGAACUGCGUCUGAUACUGGAGGGCCUGAGUAUGGGAGAGGGAUGUAGAAUUCCAGGUGUAGCGGUGAAAUGCGUAGAUAUCUGGAGGAACACCUGAGGUGAAGACGGGUUGCUGGGCUGACACUGACGCUGAGGCGCGAAAGCCAGGGGAGCAAACGGGAUUAGAUACCCCCGUAGUCCCUGAGCGGGCUGGCAAGGCGCAU